UACGUAGGGGGCAAGCGUUGUCCGGAAUCAUUGGGCGUAAAGAGCGUGUAGGCGGCCCGAUAAGUCCGCUGUGAAAGUCCAGGGCUCAACCCUGGAAUGCCAGUGGAAACUGUCGGGCUGGAGUCCGGAAGAGGCGAGUGGAAUUCCGUGGUGUAGCGGUGAAAUGCGCAGAUAUCAGGAGGAACACCAAUGGCGAAGGCAGCUCGCUGGGACGGUACUGACGCUGAGACGCGAAAGCGUGGGGAGCAAACAGG
rnacentral:rRNA from 1 species